rnacentral:rRNA from 1 species
GACGAACGCUGGCGGCGUGCUUAACACAUGCAAGUCGAACGGAAAGGCCCUGCUUUUGUGGGGUGCUCGAGUGGCGAACGGGUGAGUAACACGUGAGUAACCUGCCCUUUACUUUGGGAUAACUUCAGGAAACUGGGGCUAAUACCGGAUAGGAGCUCCUGCUGCAUGGUGGGGGUUGGAAAGUUUCGGCGGUUGGGGAUGGACUCGCGGCUUAUCAGCUUGUUGGUGGGGUAGUGGCUUACCAAGGCUUUGACGGGUAGCCGGCCUGAGAGGGUGACCGGCGACAUUGGGACUGAGAUACGGCCCAGACUCCUACGGGAGGCAGCAGUGGGGAAUAUUGCACAAUGGGCGGAAGCCUGAUGCAGCAACGCCGCGUGCGGGAUGACGGCCUUCGGGUUGUAAACCGCUUUCGCAUGUGACGAAGCGUGAGUGACGGUAAUGGGUAAAGAAGCACCGGCUAACUACGUG